rnacentral:rRNA from 1 species
GACGGAGGGUGCAAGCGUUGUUCGGAUUGACUGGGCGUAAAGGGCGCGUAGGCGGUCGGAUAAGUCUUGUGUGAAAUCUUCGGGCUCAACUCGAAGUCUGCACAGGAAACUAUCUGGCUUGAGUGUGGGAGAGGUGAGUGGAAUUCCUGGUGUAGCGGUGAAAUGCGUAGAUAUCAGGAGGAACACCUGUGGCGAAAGCGGCUCACUGGACCACAACUGACGCUGAGGCGCGAAAGCUAGGGGAGCAAACAGG